ACGGCUCAGUAACACGUGGACAACCUACCCUCAGCACGGGGAUAAACCCGGGAAACUGGGUAUAAUACCCGAUAGUUCUGGGAUGCUGGAAUGCUUCCAGGACGAAAGCUCCGGCGACUGAGGAUGGGUCUGCGGCCUAUCAGGUAGUAGUGGGUGUAAUGUACCUACUAGCCUACGACGGGUACGGGUCGUGAGAGCGAGAGCCCGGAGAUGGAUUCUGAGACACGAAUCCAGGCCCUACGGGGUGCAGCAGGCGCGAAAACUUUACAAUGCUGGCAACAGCGAUAAGGGGACCUCGAGUGCCAGGAUACAAUCUUGGCUGUCGUAAUGCCUAAAAAGCAUUGCAUAGCAAGGGCCGGGCAAGACCGGUGCCAGCCGCCGCGGUAACACCGGCGGCUCGAGUGGUAACCGCUAUUAUUGGGUCUAAAGGGUCUGUAGCCGGCCGGAUAAGUCUCUUGGGAAAUCCAGCUGCUCAACAGUUGGGCUUUCAGGAGAUACUGUUCGGCUCGAGGCCGGGAGAGGUGAGAGGUACUUCAGGGGUAGGGGUGAAAUCUUGUAAUCCUUGAAGGACCACCAGUGGCGAAGGCGUCUCACCAGAACGGUCCUGACGGCAAGGGACGAAAGCUAGGGGCACGAACCGGAUUAGAUACCCGGGUAGUCCUAGCCGUAAACGAUACUCGCUAGGUGUCAGCCACGGUGCGACCGUGGUUGGUGCCGUAGGGAAGCCGUGAAGCGAGCCACCUGGGAAGUACGGCCGCAAGGCUGAAACUUAAAGGAAUUGGCGGGGGAGCAC
rnacentral:rRNA from 1 species